ACAUUUUUCAUCCCAUUUCUUUCAUUUUUCCAUUGAAAUGAAUUUAACUGGAACGCUAUCUUUAGUUUAUAUCAUGAUUGACUGAUUGGGCGCUCUUCGCAUGCGUGAAAGACUGGAACUGGCCUUCAAGUUUGCCUUCAAAUUUCCGGUUGGAGGUAGCGUUCUCAAUGCAUUUUUCAUUCCUUGAGAGUAUGUUAUGUAAAGAAAGUAUCGACAGAGUAGAAUGCGGGUCAUGCUCACAAUAGGGAGCUUUAGAUUUGACUACGAGUACGACUACGAGUACGAGAUUUGAUCGCGUGCGAGGAAAUUACCGUAGUCGUUUUCGUUUCCAUUCAAAUGUUGCUUUUAUAACAGUAAACCAACAACUAGAGAAAAAGUUUCAUAAA